AUUUUGUGGCCAAGCUAUUAAGGGCAAACGGUGGAUGCCUUGGCGUCAAGAGGCGAUGAAAGACGUGGCUAGCUGCGAUAAGCUUCGGGGAGCUGCUAAACAAGCUUUGAUCCGGAGAUUUCUGAAUGGGGAAACCCUUUUCGGUUAAUGCCGAAAAACUCUCAGCUGAAUACAUAGGCUGUUAGGGCCAACGAGGUGAACUGAAACAUCUUAGUAACCUCAGGAACAGAAAACAAUAGUGAUUUUCCUAGUAGCGGCGAGCGAACGGGAAACAGCCCAAACCGAGUAUAUGUCAAGCCCGAAAGCGUUGUAUACUCGGGGUCGUGGGAUCUGAUUGGACGGUGUUUCGGAACCGUCGGGAAGUUACAAAUCUGAUUUAUAACUGAAGCGUCUGGAAGGUCGCACCAUAGAAGGUGACAGUCCUGUAAGUGAAAUAGAUCAGACUUCCUGGGUCAGACACCCAAGUAGCGCGGGACACGAGGAACCCUGUGUGAAUCCGGGAGGACCAUCUCCUAAGGCUAAAUACUCCUUGACGACCGAUAGUGAACCAGUACCGUGAGGGAAAGGUGAAAAGUACCCCGGUGAGGGGAGUGAAAUAGUACCUGAAACCGUUUGCUUACAAGCAGUGGGAGCACUAUGGCGAUCUUUGAUUGCCAGUGUGACCGCGUGCCUUUUGCAUAAUGAGUCAGCGAGUUACUUCUACGUAGCAAGGUUAAGCCGUCAGGUGUAGCCGUAGCGAAAGCGAGUCUUAAUUGGGCGUAUUAGUUGCGUGGAGUAGACCCGAAACCAAGUGAUCUAUCCAUGGCCAGGGUGAAGCGCGAGUAAGAUCGCGUGAAGGCCCGAACCGUUGUAUGUUGAAAAAUGCUCGGAUGAGCUGUGGAUAGGGGUGAAAGGCCAAACAAACUUGGAAAUAGCUGGUUCUCCCCGAAAUAUAUUUAGGUAUAGCCUUGCGUGAUUCAGUAACGGGGGUAGAGCACUGGAUGGGCUAGGGGUCCUACCAGAUUACCAAACCUAACCAAACUCCGAAUACCGUUAACUGCUAUCGCAGGAGUCAGACUACGAGAGCUAAGUUCCGUGGUCGAGAGGGAAACAGCCCAGACCGCCAGCUAAGGUCCCUAAUUAUGUGCUAAGUGGGAAAGGAUGUGGAAAUGCACAGACAACCAGGAGGUUGGCUUAGAAGCAGCCACCCUUUAAAGAAAGCGUAACAGCUCACUGGUCGAGUGAGUCCGCGCCGAAGAUGUAACGGGGCUCAAGCACAUAACCGAAGCUGCGGAGUCUAUCUUCGGAUAGAUUGGUAGGGGAGCAUUCUGUACUGGCUGAAGGUCGAUCGUAAGGACGGCUGGACGGUACAGAAGAGACCAUGCUGACAUGAGUAACGAUAAAGCGGGUGAAAAACCCGCUCGCCGAAAACCUAAGGUUUCCUGAGUAAAGCUAAUCUGCUCAGGGUUAGUCGAUCCCUAAGCCGAGGCCGAAAGGCGUAGGUAAUGGAAAACAGGUUAAUAUUCCUGUACCACCGUAUCAUCGUUUGAGUGAUGGGGGGACGCAGAAGGGUAGGUCAGCCACCUGUUGGACGUGGUGGUUUAAGCCGGUAGACUGGAAGAACAGGCAAAUCCGUUCUUUUAUAUAAAGGUCGAGAGGUGAAUACGAGAGGCUUGCCUCAUAAAGUGAUUGAUCCCAUACUGCCAAGAAAAGCCUCUAUCGAGAUGAUGAGGUGAUCGUACCGUAAACCGACACAGGUAGGUGGGGAGAGAAUCCCAAGGCGCUUGAGAGAACCCUGGUUAAGGAACUCGGCAAAAUGACACCGUAACUUCGGGAGAAGGUGGGCCUUUUCUGGUGAUUCAAUUUUCUUGAUAAGCUGGGAAGGGCCGCAGAGAAAUGGCGGUAGCGACUGUUUACUAAAAACAUAGGACUCUGCUAAGUCGCAAGACGAUGUAUAGGGUCUGACGCCUGCCCGGUGCCGGAAGG
rnacentral:rRNA from 2 species